UGGAAUUGUCCAGAGUAAUGGUGAUAAAGGCCUGAAUCAAGGUGUUAGUUGAGUAACUACAGAGAAGGGGGCAUGUAUCAGAUACUUUGUAAAGACAGAAAUGACAAGAUUUGGCAAUAGCUUAGAUAUGUAUGUAGGAUGAGGAUGAUGGGAGGCCUGUUUUCCUUUCAACAGUAAAAGGGAACUUGGGUAAAGGAGAUGCUUGAAGGUAAACAAAGAGUUCUGUUUAGGACUUGCUGAAUUUAACACACAUAACUAUAUGUACAGAUGUCCAAAAGGUAGGUGUUAAUGUAAGAGUAGAGCUUAGGAGAAAGACUAGGGCUAGAUUUGUAGAUCUGGGAAAGACUGGCAUGAAGAUGAUAACUGAAGUGGGAGCCAAAGAAAAUUACCAAAUGACAAAAUACAGAGAGAAAAGAGAAGAGGGCUGAGGACAGUAUCUUCGAAGACACCCACAGUUAAUGGCCAUGACAUGAAUUAUGAACUAGUGACGAUGCAUUUAAGACAGGUUAGAACAGAACGAGGAGUCAAAACAAACAAAAACCUAGAGAGGAAAGUAUUCAUAGGGAGAAGGGAAUCAACAAUGUCAAAUGCUACUGAAAGUUCAAGAAGACUCUCAAAGCCAUCUUCAACUCUUCAGUCUUUCUCGCCCUACAUAUAAAAUCAAUUGCCAGAUAAUUCCUUCUGAGCUCAAAAGGUCUGCUAGCUUCUCUGGUAGCUACAAUAAUAGGUGGACGGAUGGUAAAGCCAAACUCUUUUGAAUGGUUAUAGAUCUAAGACACUUUGCAGAUGUUCUCACUAUGCUGGAACCAACAAAAUGUCACUUGCAAAAAGGAGCACCACACACAGGAAAUUCCUUUUCAGGUUGGACUCUGUUCCUGGAUCUCCUCCAUCGACACUGAAGAACAUUUGGCAAGCACAG